rnacentral:rRNA from 1 species
UGCUGGGCACUCUGGUGAGACUGCCCCGGUUAACGGGAGGAAGGUGGGGACGACGGUCAAGUCAUCAUGGCCCUUACGCCUAGGGCUACACACGUACUACAAUGGCGCAUACAAAGGGCAGCGAUACCGCGAGGUGGAGCCAAUCCCAAAAAAGUGCGUCCCAAGUCCGGAUUGCAGUCUGCAACUCGACUGCAUGAAGUUGGAAUCGCUAGUAAUUCGAGAUCAGCAUGCUCGGGUGAAUGCGUUCCCGGGCCUU